CCUGUUGGUGUCCAGUAGAAGUCUCCCUAGUUAUUCCAUAGAAACCACGAGAAAACUCAGCUGCCCACGCGACCAUCAUCGCUAGACCUUCGGCUUCGACUUCAUCAUCUCGAAAUCCCUAUUCUCUCACUCAUCUCUUCGCUUUGUCUCUCACUUUUGAGGUUAUGAAGGGUAUUCUUAUCUCUUAGAGCUUCUGUGGUGGGUGGGAUUUAUUACCGGUCUGUUGCUGUUGUCUUUGUUUGGGGUGGCAAUAGCCACAAUUGAACCCUCCUCCUAUCUUCCUCCACCAUUGCCCCAAUUUUGUCGAAAACAGCAGCAGCAGCCUCUGGCUCUCUUGGCUCAGGAUGUGAGUAUUUAGGAGACCAUUUGUCAAGGAGCUCCCAUGGGAGCUGCUCCAUGCUCUCGCUUCCUUCUCGAUUACCUUCGUUGUGGUUGGAAAAGCUACAGACUGCAAUGGUUGUGAUUCUGGAUGCUGACAUGAUUAUCCACGGGCCGAUUGCUCCUUGGGAACUUACUGCUGAGAAAGGCAAGCCUAUUGCAGCGUAUAUAGGGAAUAUUACUACUACUAUUUUUCUCUUUCAUCAGACGAGCAUUGUUUUGCAAUCGCAUUCUGUAUUUUGAUUUUCUUGUCUGUCUAGGAUUUUUAUUUUUUUGAGAGAUUUAAAUUGAUGUUCCAACCCCAUAUGCCUCCUUUAAAUUCCGAAUAAUUAUAUAAAGCACCACUUAAUAUUAAUAGAGUGAUUUAGUAGUUC